rnacentral:rRNA from 1 species
ACCUUGAAAUACCACCCUUUAAUGUUUGAUGUUCUAACGUGGACCCGUGAUCCGGGUUGCGGACAGUGUCUGGUGGGUAGUUUGACUGGGGCGGUCUCCUCCUAAAGAGUAACGGAGGAGCACGAAGGUUGGCUAAUCCUGGUCGGACAUCAGGAGGUUAGUGCAAUGGCAUAAGCCAGCUUGACUGCGAGCGUGACGGCGCGAGCAGGUGCGAAAGCAGGUCAUAGUGAUCCGGUGGUUCUGAAUGGAAGGGCCAUCGCUCAACGGAUAAAAGGUACUCCGGGGAUAACAGGCUGAUACCGCCCAAGAGUUCAUAUCGACGGCGGUGUUUGGCACCUCGAUGUCGGCUCAUCACAUCCUGGGGCUGAAGUAGGUCCCAAGGGUAUGGCUGUUCGCCAUUUAAAGUGGUACGCGAGCUGGGUUUAGAACGUCGUGAGACAGUUCGGUCCCUAUCUGCCGUGGGCGCUGGAGAACUGAGGGGGGCUGCUUCUAGUACGAGAGGACCGGAGUGGACGCAUCACUGGUGUUCGGGUUGUCAUGCCAAUGGCACUGCCCGGUAGCUAAAUGCGGAAGAGAUAAGUGCUGAAAGCAUCUAAGCACGAAACUUGCCCCGAGAUGAGUUCUCCCUGAGACUUUAGGUCUCCUGAAGGAACGUUGAAGACGACGACGUUGAUAGGCCGGGUGUGUAAGCGCAGCGAUGCGUUGAGCUAACCGGUACUAAUGAACCGUGAGGCUUAACCUUACAACGCCGAAG